rnacentral:rRNA from 1 species
CGGGGUGAGUAAUGUCUGGGAAACUGCCUGAUGGAGGGGGAUAACUACUGGAAACGGUAGCUAAUACUGCAUAACGUCGCAAGACCAAGAGGGGACCUUCGGGCCUCGCGCCAUCAGAUGAACCCAUAUGGGAUUAGCUAGUAGGUGGGGUAACGGCUCACCUAGGCGACGAUCCCUAGCUGGUCUGAGAGGAUGACCAGCCACACUGGAACUGAGACACGGUCCAG